rnacentral:lncRNA from 1 species
CUCUGCCCAGUCCCCAUCUCCAAUAUGGUACCAGAGGUUGCCAACGAGACACGGUCCACAUCCUCCUCCCAGCACAGAGUUGGAGACAAGAUGGCAUGGAAGUUCUCUGGAGAUUUAAUCGCUAAUGACCUCAUCUUCAAAUGGUCAGUGAUAAUAAACAAGAAGACGGGAUUUCCAAGGGGGCAGAGCAUUAAUAAGGUAAGAUUUUAAAAUUAAUUUU